UACGUAGGGUGCGAGCGUUAAUCGGAAUUACUGGGCGUAAAGCGCACGCAGGCGGCCUUUUAAGUUUGACGUGAAAGCUCCUGGCUUAACCGGGAGUGGUCGUUGAAGACUGGAAGGCUUGAGACGAUGAGAGGGGUGCAGAAUUCCCGGUGUAGUGGUGGAAUGCGUAGAUAUCGGGAGGAAUACCAGUGGCGAAGGCGGCACCCUGGCAUCGGUCUGACGCUCAUGUGCGAAGGCGUGGGGAGCGAACGGG
rnacentral:rRNA from 1 species